rnacentral:lncRNA from 1 species
GAAGGUCCUUGUCCAUCAAUAAUGUCUUGAGGUCAGAGACAUCAACUAGAUCAUUCUGGAGAAUUUGGGUAGUAGCUAAGAGUAUCUGUGUAGCUGCAAAAGGAGAGCAAAAGCAAAUGUUUCAACAGCAGAAAUAGAGCAUAUGUUAUUAGUUAUCACUUAAUAGCCUCAGGUUGCAUAAAAUAUGAAGAUCUGAUUCUAGAAUUGUACAUGGAACUAUUUGUAUAGUUUUAAAAACCAGAGUGUAUUACAAUAGCUAACAGUCACAGGGCACUUGCUAAGUGCUAGACACUGUUUUAAGCAAUUUCACUUUACCAGAUUACAAAUGUCUUUAUAAUAAUCCCAAGAUAGGCAUUUUCAUCCCUGUUUUUCAGAUGAAAACACUGAGGUUAGCAAGAUUAAGUGAUUUACUAAAUAAUACAUUGGCAGUAAGUGGCAGGGAUGGGAUUUAAGUAACAGACCCUAUAGUUCCAAAGCCCAUCCUCUUAACCACUGUGCCUUUCAAGUAGAAACAUAUAGGUAGUCAACCUUUAUCCCUUGAGCCACAUAUUACUUCACAUGUGGCCCUGAAAUCAUUGUGAAGCAUUACUAAUAAGCUUUAAAUCAAAAUUGUCUUUCAUUAUUUAACUUAAAGUUAUGUUACCUUAAAAUGAUUAAACUGAUGAAUAACCUAUAAGCAUAAUUGUUUUCUAAGAAAUUCACUGGAUAUUAAUAUUGUGAAAAAUAAUUACUUCAGCCCUUUGUUGACAUGAGUAGCUUCUUCUUCCAGUUCUUAGUCAAACUGGUCCCAGUUGAGAAUAUUGUAUAAAUAAAAUAAUUUAUAGGUGAAAUAGAAGGUAUAGCUUGCUGGAUGUAAGAGGACAAACCACGCUCCAAUGUGAUCCAACAAUAAUACUAUCUUCCAUUUAUAAGGCAACUACCUUAUACCUACAUAUUUUGUUUCUAAACAAAAUUUUUUUAUCUGAAAUAUCUGAAUGUAAAUAGCCAACAAAAUGUCCCCUCACCAUUAACUAUAUUAUUGUGUUUUUUCUCCAAUGAGAACAUUCUCUUACAUAAUAACAAUACAAUCAUAAAAAUUCAGAAAUUAUUACAUUGAUAUAAUGUAAAAAUGUCAUCUAAUUCUCAAACCCAUUCACAUUCUGCUAUUUGUCCUGGUAAUACCAUUUUUAGCAAAAUGAUACAUAUUUUGUGAAUGCUAUAAAGAAGGCACCAAGAUUAACUUUUUAAUAAAUGAAUAUUCAAUUGAAAUAACAUCAUUUAUUUAAAAGGCCAUCCUUUCCUUGCUCCAUUGCAGUGGUACCUUUGUUGUAAAGGCGAUGGGCAUAUUAUGUGUAGAUCUCUUUCUGGACUCUGUAUUCUACUCUAUUGGUUUUUGUGUCAAUACCACACUGUCUUAAUUACAGUAACUUUGUUAUGAUAACAUGAUAAGCACUAUGUUAGAGACUUACCAUUUAAUACCUGGCCAAAUAAUCAAAGACAAUAAAGGUAAAAUAUGGAUAUUGGGAAGCAUUCAAAGACUCAAAAAUUAUAUCUCCCAUGCUGUUUUACUUUGGAACCUAAUGCAAAAUGUGCUUCAGUAAAAUAAAGAGUAAAUCAUGACAGGGAUUCAGUAAACAUGUGAGCCAUAGAACACUACUAAAGAGAAAUCCUGGGAUGACAGCUGUUUAGCGGGUGUAGGGGAGAAACAAUCCAAAUCAGAACAUCUAAAGUACAUAAAACUGUGUUUGAGUGUUUUGAAAAUGUUAAUAUUCAAACAUUUUUUAUUAUGAUUUCAAAAAUCAUAGUCAAUGUUUGACUAACAUUUCAAACAUGACUGUGUCAGAAAUGUUUAAAGUCCAAGAAGUGAAAUUACCUAUGCAACAUCAUACAACCGGUCAGUAGGAAAAAAAAAAUUCAGGUACCUAAAAUAUGACUACAAUGUUGUUUUUCAUAUACACACACCACCAAUUUGCAACCCUUUUUUAAAGCUUUUAAACAUUUUUUUUAUUUCUAAACAAACUCAAACUCUCAGAAAAGUUGCAAGUACCGUACAAAAAUUUUUUGUCUGAAACAUGGGAAAAAGUAAUAGGUCUAUAGGAAAACAUAUGUUUUUUAAAAAGAUAAUUGUUAACUCCAGAAGAAAGGGGAAGGGAGAGAUUGCACAUGCAAAGAGGCAUGGAGGUAAUGGGAUGACUACUGACUCAUCAAUGAGCUAAUUUGGAUAGUCAUAAUACUACUAAUUAAACACUGACUACUGAUUUAACCAAAACCUGUGAUAUAAUUACAUUUUCACACACUUGAGUCUAUAACUUUGUAAUCUACCUAAUACAGAGGCAUGGUCUCAAUUCUUACAACUUCUAUAGAAGCAUUAUUAGCCUUAUAUCCUUUGGAGCAUUAAGGUUCUCUUCUUUAAAAAAAGGAAUUAACGCUAUGAAGAUUGGAUCCUAAAGAAGCUAGCACACAAAAUGGACCCAACUAUGCCAUUUGAAUGAAAAGGAUUCCAAUGCCUGGAUAUAAAAGCAAAAUGUGUUUCAAAUUCCACUGAUAUUCUAAAGAAGAAAAGGAUAAUAAGAAAACUUAAAUUAUUUUUCCAGUAUCACCCAGACAGUAAUUACUAUGGUAACCUAUGCCAUAUAACAAAGUUAUUUGCCAAUUGUCUUCUAAUUCUGAACCUACUCAAUUUUUCAAAAUGUAAUAUAUAGGAGGCAUAAAAUUCAAUUUACAGCACUGUAUUUUGGAAAAGGCAGUCUAUCAAUUUAAUAAAAACGUGAUGUAUUUACAUUUUGCAUCUCUUGACUUUGUAACUUUUUAAUCAGUAGCUACUACAGGGAAAUGCUCUCACUUAAUUCUUACAACUAUCAUAUGAUAUAGGCAUUACUAUCCUUAUUUUGAGGAAAAGAAAACUGAGAAUAAGAGAAUCUAUCUAAUUUUCCAGGGCCAGUAAUUUCUAUAGUAAUCCACAUUAUAUAAUAAGGUUAUUUAUCCAUUAAAUUCUUAUGAUAGUAAACUAUACAACUUUUUAAAAUGUGAAAUAUUUAAGGCAAAAAAUUCAAUUUACAUCACUGAACUUAGAGACUUUUGAGACCAAACCACUCAUGUGGAAAACGAAUCUAAAAUCCAAAGAAGUGAAAUUACCUAACAAAAUCCAGGUACCUAAAAUUUAACUACAAUGUUAUUUUCCAUAUAUGCAUCGCCAAUUGGCAACCCUUUUAAAAAAAUUCUUUAACUUUUUUCUUUUUUUCUGUAUAAAAGGGAAGUUUAUUUUUAAUACAAAUACAAAAUUUAUUUCCAUAGAAAGCAAAAUUUAUAAGUUAAAUAUAAAGAUUAAAAUAGUAUUUGAAAAGCUCACUAUAGUGCUAACAAACUAAAUGAAAAUAAGGCUAUUUUGCAUUUAAAACUGAAAUACCUCUUAAAACAAUUUGAUCCCCAGUGUUUGCUCUUUUUGAAGUAACCGACUUACUCUUAAAAAGGAUGGCUGCCAAGAUGGAAAGUCUUAUUGGGUUUUCAUGUUAACCUAUUCUUUGGACAUAACUAUGAAUUUUGUAUACAAUGCAUUUCAUGAAAAGUUAUGGCUCCCCCAGAUUUCCCACAAGUGUGAUCUUGAAGUCCUAAACAUUUGUCCAUGUAAGCUUCAAAACAGAGCCUUAACUGAGUUAUUCAAGUAGCAGUACUUAAAGAUAUAAUUUUUGAAGCAGUUUCAAUGGUUUGUGAUCCAAAUAAUCAGUUUCUGAACAUUACUACUUCACGUAAUAGAGUCCAUCUUCAGUUUCUUCUCACUUUCUCUUUCCCUUUUGGGUUUCCUUUUUCUGGCCUGAGGCUACCAGUUCUUUGGGUACUAUCAAGAUACUUCCAUCAUGGGUACACUGAAGAGCAUAGUGGUUUGGAUUGACUGGCCUACCUUGGUCAUCUCUUAAUCUACUAAAAAUAUCAUGAUAAAGGUCAUGCAGUUUGUUUCAUUAUGUUAAUAGCUUUGAUACAUUGUGCUCGCUCUCUCUUAAGAGUUUCCUUCUUUGCUUGCAAGUUACAUACAUCAUCUUCUAGAUUCAAAAUUAUGUCCAAUUUGCGUUUACGAUAGUUCUGCGCAGCAACUUUAUUUUUCCCUCUUCGUCUGAUAUCACGGAUAAGUGAGACUUGUAGGUCUGUCAGAUAGUACCUACUUAACAUGCUAUUGAAUCAACAGGCAUGCCGACAAUUUCAUCUACAGAAAAAAGGGAUAUGCAAAGCUUUAGCACGCCGUUCAUCACGUUCAAGUUUCUAUCUGUGUCUUCAAG